UAUUUGCUUGUUUCGGGAUAGUGGAGAUAGACAAAAUGGUCUCGAACAAUAUUUUUAAUAAUUUGAGCGAGACCAAGUAUCGUUAUCUCAACUGGUAAAGAUAAUAGGUAAAGCUUAGAGGUCGUCGGUUCGAAUGACGUUUAAAACGAAAUUAAUAUUAUAUGUUGUGGUUUCGCGCUUGGAAGGAUUACGGAUUUUGGCCAUAACCUCCUAGUAUUCAGAAAAUUGUGAGCGAGGUUGGACAAUCGGAUAGUGAUCUUGUAGACGUCAAUGUGC
rnacentral:sRNA from 1 species